rnacentral:rRNA from 1 species
UGGGGAAUAUUGGACAAUGGGGGAAACCCUGAUCCAGCGACGCCGCGUGUGUGAAGAAGGCCUGCGGGUUGUAAAGCACUUUUAGUGGGGAUGAAAAGUGCAGAGCUAACACCUCUGCAUCUUGACCUAACCCACAGAAAAAGCACCGGCUAACUCUGUGCCAGCAGCCGCGGUAAUACAGAGGGUGCAAGCGUUGUUCGGAAUUAUUGGGCGUAAAGGGUGUGUAGGCGGUUAAUUAAGUUUCCUGUGAAAUCUUCGGGCUUAGCCUGACAAAGUGCAGGGAAAACUGGUUGACUAGAGUGUCGGAGAGGAAAGGGGAAUUCCCGGUGUAGAGGUAAAAUUCGUAGAGAUCGGGAGGAACACCAGUGGCGAAGGCGCCUUUCUGGCUGACAACUGACGCUGAGACUCGAAAGCAUGGGGAGCAAACAGGAUUAGAUACCCUGGUAGUCCAUGCUGUAAACGAUGAUAACUAGAUGUGGGAGGUAUUGACCCCUUCCGUGUCGUAGCUAACGCGAUAAGUUAUCCGCCUGGGGAGUACGGCCGCAAGGUUA